GAGUUUCUAGAAUAGUCUGCUGGUACUUGUGUCCUGCUGUUAUGUGAUUUGCCCAUAGAUUGCUGUGACGGAGGUGAUCCAUGCAAUGAUUGAGGUGCUUCAGAGUUUCCUGUCCGAAAUCCACUUGAUGAAGAUCCAUGUCAAGGGCGUCAAGCCCUACGGUAGCUGGACCUCGGCUACGUAGUUCGUAGCCGCGAUCCGUCUUCUCCGGCGAGGUUUUGCCCCUCAGCCGCAGGCUUAGGUUUUAGAAGAGAAAGGGGAUUAUAGAUAAUAAUUCUUGCUUGCUUAUAUCGAAAGUGUCUACAGAUAUUUAUGUCCCUUUAACUAUGCCUCCUUAUGCUAAAUAGCCUAUUUGGGACUAAUAUAAAUUGCAACAUAAAAGGAUAACUAAACUUAUAUAAAAAUAACUGGGCCAACAACCAAGGCCCGCCCCUAGCCACCUAAUUCGGCCUGGCUGCUGGGCGCGCCUUCUCCUGCUGUUGCAGCGCGCUCAGCGGUCCGCCGGAUGUCUCGGGCCCGCCGCUGACGUGUGUAUGUGCGGCCCCACAUGACAUCUCUCCCCCCCUCAAGAUCCAGCUCGUCCUCGAGCUGGAAGGCGGGAUACUUCUCGCGAAAAUCAUCCAAGUCUUCCCAUGUCGCUGAAGAAGACGGUUCACCCUGCCAAUGAACCAGGACCUGGCGAACUCCCCUGGCGAGACGAACCUGCUCCACCCGUGCAGGUACUGGAAUAACGGCACCGUGAUGGAUGUCGGGCAGAGGCGGUGGAGCUGUUGGAGGCGUGCCCACGAACUUCUUCAGGGUGCUGACAUGGAACACGUCGUGGAUGCGUGCCUGGGCAGGAAGCGCAAGGCGGACAGCGACGUCGUUGAUGAUCUCCACGACCCGAUAAGGACCCAGGAAGCGGGCUUUCAGCUUGCCCGUUGUAGCCUGGGGUAGCGAGGCCGGCGCACGCUGUCGGAGACGCAGGAGCGCCCAAUCGUCCACCUGGUAGACAACCUGUCGAUGGUGCUUGUCGUACUGCAGUUUCUGCGCUGCUUGUGCCUGCUCCAGACGGUAACGAACAUCAGCGAGGAAAGCCUCGCGUUCCUCCAUGUCGCGAGCCACUGCAGCCACUCGCGUCUCACCAGGCUCAUAAGAGCGGAUGGUGGGCGGGUCGCGGCCAUACACCACACGAAACGGCGUCUCCCGAAGCGACGACUGGUAGGCCGUGUUGUAGACGUACUCAGCCCAAGGAAGCCACCGGAGCCACUGCCGAGGACGGUCGCCGGUGAAGCAGCGCAGGUACAUGACGAUGACGCGGUUGGCUGCCUCCGUCUGUCCAUCUGAUUGGGGGUGGAACGCGGACGUCAUGUGCAGCUUGGUCCCCAUGAGCCGCAUCAACUCACGCCAGAACGCCGACGUGAACACCGGGUCGCGGUCCGACACCAUGGACUGCGGAACACCAUGUAGGCGUACUAUGUCGGUGAAGAAAGCCUGUGCCACCGUCUCCGCCGUGUAUGGGUGAGCAAGGGCGAUGAAGUGGCAGUACUUGCUGAAGCGGUCGACGACAGUGAGGAUCACCGACUUCCCCUGGACACGGGGCAGGGCUUCCACGAAAUCGAGGCCAAUAUCUGCCCAGACGACGGUGGGGACUGGUAGCGGCAGUAGAAGUCCUGCCGGAAGUAGGUGUUCGGACUUGUAGCGCUGGCAGGUGACGCACGCCCGCACAAAGUCCUGCACAAUCCGUCUCAUCUGGGGAAAAUGGAAAUCCCGACGGAGGCGAUGUAGAGUACGCUGGACCCCUUCGUGUCCAUCAUAAUGGACCGCAGCCACGAUCUCCUGUACCAGGGGCGAAGACGGAGGAAUGUACAGGCGACCAUCGUAGAGUACCAUGCCGUCCGCCACCGUCCAAGGAGCUGCGCGUGAGCCAGCACGGAUGUCGUCGUGGAUGGUUACCAGUGCUGGGUCAGUGGCCUGAGCAUGCCGUAGACGCGCGAUGAAGUCGAAGCGCGGAGCGGAGAUCGCCUGGAGGCCACCCACGCUGUCCUCCUCGGUGUCACGACGGGACAAAGCGUCGGCCACCGUAUUAGAAGCCCCUGACUUGUAUUCGACGGUGAAGUCGAAGCCGAGGAGCUUGCCAACCCAAUGAUGCUGAGGGAUUGUGGCGAGACGCUGGUCGAGGAGAUACUUGAGGCUGUAGUGGUCUGUCUUGACGAUGAACCGGCGCCCCCAAAGGUACGGUCGCCAAUGCCGUACCGCGAGUACUAGACCGAUGAGCUCUCGCUCAUAGGCUGCUAGUGAGCGAUGGCGGGGGGUCACCGGCCUGCUGAAGAAGGCGAUCGGGUGUCCCUCCUGGAUGAGGACGGCCCCAAACCCGUACGUCGAUGCGUCGCACUCCACGAUGAAGGGCUUGGAGAAGUCUGGCAGGGUCAGCACUGGGGGUGACGUCACGGCCCCCUUGAGGGCACUGAAAGCAGCUUCCGCCUCGGCACCCCAUGCGAACCCCUCCUUUUUCAGAAGCGCCGUGAGAGGGGCUGCAAUGGCGCCGUAGUUGUGGACGAAUUUCCUGUAGUAGCCGGCCAAGCCAAGGAAGCCACGCACUGCACGUGCCGACCGGGGCUGCGGCCAGUCGUGGAUAGCCUGGACCUUGGCGGGAUCCAUGGCGACGCCGGCAGCGGAGAUGACGUGGCCGAGGUAGGCGACAGAGGAGACGCCGAACGAGCACUUGGACCUCUUCACAAAGAGGCGGUGUCGGCGCAGGAUGUCCAGGACGACGCGGAGGUGGCGGAGGUGGUCCGCCCAAGUGGUGCUGUAGAUCAGGAUAUCAUCAAAAAAAACAAGUACGAACCGACGGAGGUAAGCGCGCAGCACGUCGUUCAUCAGAGCUUGAAACGUUGCCGGGGCGUUGCACAGCCCGAACGGCAUCACCAGGAACUCGUAGAGGCCAUCGUGAGUGCGGAACGCCGUCUUGUGAACGUCCUCCGGGCGCAUCCGCACCUGAUGGUAUCCCGACCGUAAGUCGAGUUUGGUGAAGAAGCGGGCGCCAUGGAGCUCAUCCAGGAGCUCAUCGACGACGGGGAUGGGAAACGCAUCCUUGACGGUGAGGGCGUUGAGGGCGCGGUAGUCGACGCAGAACCGCCAUGAGCCGUCGGCCUUCUUGACGAGGAGCACGGGCGAAGAGAAGGCCGAGUCGCUGCGGCGAACAAUGCCCUGCUGGAUCAUGGCUGUGCAGUGGCGUUCCAGCUCGUCUUUGUGUGCCGCCGGGUACCGGUAUGGACGCACCACAACGGGCGCCGAGCCGGGCUUGAGGGUGAUGGCGUGGUCGCGGGCACGGGGUGGAGGCAUGCCGCUGGGCUCGGCGAAGAUGUCGUCGUAUGCUGCCAGCAGCCCGUCGAGGAGGGACGCGCUGGAAGCCGUGGCCGCACGCAGACUGGGUGCGCCCGUGGACGGCACUCCUGCCCAGCAGAAUGCGCGGCCCUGGUAGGUGAAGGACAGGGACCGUGCCGCGAAAUCCCACACGAUCGGUCCGAGGGUCGCCAUCCACUGUGUUCCCAACACGAUGUCGUAGCCUGCAAGUGGCAUGACAAAAAGGUCGAUGGCGAAUGUGGUGUUGUUGAUGGUGACCGGAGCAUGCCGAAUCACGCCUGGGCAUGGAAUCUUCUCGCCAUUCGCGACCAUGGCCGUCAUGCGUGCACGGGGCUGAACGCGGAGGCCGGUGCGUCGCGCAGCCUCCUCGGCGAUGAAGUUAUGAGUGGAGCCGCUGUCCAGGAGGGCGACAAAUGUCGCUGUACCGACCGACACCCGGACCUGCAUAGUGUCAGCAAGCGGCACACCUGCGACUGCGUGGAGAGAAAAGACGGGUGCCUCUGUGUCGCCUUCCUCUGCCCCUGCAUCGGCCCCAUCGUCGGCCGUGUCGUCGUCGUCUGGCAAGCUGUCAAGAAGAAACAGGCGCUUGCAAACGCGGUUGUGACCGCGGCCAUACCUCUCAUCACAAUUGUAGCAAAGACCAAGGCGCCGACGUUCCUCCAUCUCUGCCUGGGAGAGUCGUUUGACGGUGCGGCCUUCGAUCGUGACCUGCGCCUGGGGGGCAGGCCGUGCGCCCACUGGUGCUGGCAGCGCGAGGCGCGGUGCUGGAAGGGCCGGAACGAGGCCCCGGUUGGCGGCCCUCGCUGGCUGAGGGUGCUGGGGUGUGUGCUGCUCCCGCAGCUCGAACUGCCGUGCAAGGCUCAUGGCGGCCGCCAAAGUCCCCGGGUUCUGGAUGCGCACGUCGAUGCUGAGCGGCGGCAGCAGGCCCCCGGUGAAGAGCUGCACCCGCUGCGAUUCGUCGAGGCGACCAGCCCUGGCGAGCAACGCCUGGAACCGAUCCUGAUACUCAGCAACUGUAGAGGUGCGGCGACACUCCGCAAGUUCAGCCAGGGGUGCUGAUCGGAGCGGCGGCCCGUAACGGAGAUUGAGGAGCUCCGUGAACCGGCGCCAUGACGGGGUACCCUCGUCCGUCUGGACCUGGAUAUACCACAUCUGGGCGCCCUCUUCCAGGUUGUAGGAAGCCAUCCAGACUUUCUCCUCUUCCAUGAUCCGCUGCUGGUGGAAGUAGGACUCGCAACGGUUGAUGAAGAUCAGCGGAUCACUCUUGCCGUCGUAGCGUGGAAAGUCCAUCUUCUGGAACCUCGGCGGUCGAUCCUGGUGAUGCUCGCCGAACUGUGGCUUAUAGCCCGACGUGGAGGAGAGGGCAGUGAUUGCUUGCGCCUGAGCCUCCAUGGUCUUGGCGGUGGCUUCUGCAGUGGCCUGCAGGGCAGCAACAGCCUUGGCCAGAUUAGCCACGGUGGUCUUCAGGUCCUCGGCGUCUCCCAUCGGCGAUGUGCAGGAUGCAGCGGAGGACGGCGUCGGGGAAGCGGGCGCAACGAGGGGUGGCGCGGUGGCUGGUGGAGGAGUCUGGGCGGCAGCUGGUGGUGGGAAGGUGGACUGGGCAGAUGAGGAUCGCCUAGAUCGCGAUACCAGGUUGUCAAGGGCGUCAAGCCCUACGGUAGCUGGACCUCGGCUACGUAGUUCGUAGCCGCGAUCCGUCUUCUCCGGCGAGGUUUUGCCCCUCAGCCGCAGGCUUAGGUUUUAGAAGAGAAAGGGGAUUAUAGAUAAUAAUUCUUGCUUGCUUAUAUCGAAAGUGUCUACAGAUAUUUAUGUCCCUUUAACUAUGCCUCCUUAUGCUAAAUAGCCUAUUUGGGACUAAUAUAAAUUGCAACAUAAAAGGAUAACUAAACUUAUAUAAAAAUAACUGGGCCAACAACCAAGGCCCGCCCCUAGCCACCUAAUUCGGCCUGGCUGCUGGGCGCGCCUUCUCCUGCUGUUGCAGCGCGCUCAGCGGUCCGCCGGAUGUCUCGGGCCCGCCGCUGACGUGUGUAUGUGCGGCCCCACAUGACAAUCCAAUUGGGGAAGGUUUAGCAGGAGAUAUCGAUGGUGAAGGUGCAGAGCUUAAGGCAACUGGAGCACCAAAAACUUUUCUAUCAGCGGUGUAGCUGGUUUGUGGCGAAUGAACUCCAAAACCAACCUCAUUCCUUUCUCCCAUCUUGGCAGGGACAGAUUCACUCGAAGUGAACAAUGAAGACUUGAAACCAUAGACAUCACCAUCUUUAUUGGAGUUUUGAGAUCCACCAAAUAUUCCCACUGAUUGAGCUGAAUCAAAGCCUUCUUUACCAGUUUGGCUGUUUCCAAAACUUCUGCUGCUUGAUUGCAAGGAAGGAACUAAUCCAUUAGGUGCAUUGCCUCCUGUUGGAUUCAUACCUUCAUUAUUGACAGUAGAAAAACUGGAAGAUAUUGUAGGUUUUGUGUUUCCUGUUAAUGCUAAGCUAGGCAAAGCUGCAAGUGGAGUAGUCGCAUUCACUUGCUUGGUGUCUAAGGGCUUCUUAUUGGAAGAGAUAAGGAAUGAAUUGCCAGUUGUUUCCUGUUCUUUUGAAGCUAAGCUACUGUUUUUCACAUUCAUUUCCUGCUGGUUGCUAC
rnacentral:lncRNA from 1 species